rnacentral:rRNA from 1 species
UACGUAGGUGGCAAGCGUUGUCCGGAAUUAUUGGGCGUAAAGCGCGCGUAGGCGGUCCUUUAAGUCUGAUGUGAAAGCCCACGGCUCAACCGUGGAGGGUCAUUGGAAACUGGGGGACUUGAGUACAGAAGAGAAGAGUGGAAUUCCACGUGUAGCGGUGAAAUGCGUAGAGAUGUGGAGGAACACCAGUGGCGAAGGCGGCUCUUUGGUCUGUAACUGACGCUGAGGCGCGAAAGCGUGGGGAGCAAACAGG